GUGAGGAAUAUUGGUCAAUGGGCGGGAGCCUGAACCAGCCAAGUCGCGUGAAGGAAGAAGGAUCUAUGGUUCGUAAACUUCUUUUGCAGGGGAAUAAAGUGCAGGACGUGUCCUGUUUUGUAUGUACCCUGAGAAUAAGGAUCGGCUAACUCCGUGCCAGCAGCCGCGGUAAUACGGAGGAUCCGAGCGUUAUCCGGAUUUAUUGGGUUUAAAGGGUGCGUAGGUGGUUUGAUAAGUCAGCGGUGAAAGUUUGCAGCUUAACUGUAAAAAUGCCGUUGAAGCUGUCGGACUUGAGUGUAAAUGAGGUAGGCGGAAUGCGUGGUGUAGCGGUGAAAUGCAUAGAUAUCACGCAGAACUCCGAUUGCGAAGGCAGCUUACUAAGCUACAACUGACACUGAAGCACGAAAGCGUGGGGAUCAAACAGGAUUAGAAACCCGAGUAGUCC
rnacentral:rRNA from 1 species